CAUGGCAGGUCGGCUGAGCACGCCCAGCUCCACAGGCAACUCAGAGCCACAUGUAGCUCAGAAAGAUUUAAACGCGCAGCUUUCUUGCACUGGCAGCAUUUUCACAUUUCCCCUUUCUUCAGUUUUUCUACAUUACUUGAAGUGACUCUUAUGCUUACCUCAACACUGUGCUUUGAAGAAAAAUAUGGGGGAGAGGAGGAGGUACCCAAUGUGUCACCAGGGGCAACCUGCAUUUGAUGGGAAGCUGCUGGGCCCAACGGCAUCUGCUAUGUACAAAAUACUUUGAUCAUUCAAGUUCCCUAUGCUAGACGGCCCUCUACCCAUCAAACUGCGGUGUGCUCAAGAGAACAACCAGAAAAAUCACAACAGAAAAUUGAACGAACGUUCUUCUACUUCCACAUGCUUCCACAAUCCUCUCCCAAAAUUCCCAGAAAAAGAAAAUCCAGUUCUUCUCCAACUUCACCCUUAUCACCUCAGGAAGAAAAAGCAGGCUCCAAUGCAGGAGCUGGAAAGAGCCUGACUUGGACAAGAGGAACUGCAAGAUGUAGGAAUGUGUGACUUUUGUGUGGCCCUGCCCUUAUUUAUAAACCUCCUUACUGUGCUUCAUCUCAAGUUUCUGAAGAGGACUUUAAUUUCAACCAGUAAUCCUGCAUUAUUGUCUGAUGCGGGUCACAAGUUGUACAAAGGGCGUGGGGAAGAACCUGAGGUCACCAAGACAAGAUCUACUGUCGGAAGAGUUCACAAUGCAACUCCUUGCUCUUUCUUAAAGGAAGGAGAAUAGCAAUAAGGCUUCUGAAUUGAAAGUCCUAACACUGGGAUUUAGCUUCACCACUGGCCAGCUAUUGAUCGUCAGUGGGUUACUCACUCUAUGUUUCUGUUUCUCUCUAUAAAUCCAGUUAAAGAUAUGCUGGCCAACCCACCUCACAGGAGAGUUCUAAAAACUAAGUGAAAUUAAACAUGCAGAAUCUUUUCUGAAAUUGCAAAG
rnacentral:lncRNA from 1 species